GGAGGGAUCAUUAAAGAAUAUAACAUUAUAAACCCCAAGUGUUGGAAGGGAAGAGGGGGAGGGAGAAAUCUCUCCCCCUUUUCCUCUCUGAUGCUUCAAACAAACGAUCACAACUAAGAAUAUUGAUUUGGCUUUUGAGGGAGAGAAAUAAUAAAUGUUUGCCUGAUAAUCUGAUUAUUGGAAUUGGGGAGAUAACAAAUACAACUUUCAACAACGGAUCUCUUGGCUCUCACAUCGAUGAAGAACAUAGCAAAUUGUGAAAAUUAAUGUGAAUUGCAGAAUUCAGUGAAUCAUUGAGUCUUUGAACGCAUCUUGCACUCUCUGGUAUUCCAGGGAGUAUGCCUGGUUGAGCAAUGUGAAUAUAUCAUCAAUCCCAUCUUGUAUGUGGAUUGGAAUUGAGUGUUUUACCUUGUCUUUUAAAAAGAGACAAGGUUCACUUGAAAUGAAGAGAAGGAUAACAACAGGGCUUGGUUGAUUAAGAGGAAAAAGAGACAAGCAAACUUGAUUUGGGAAAAGAAGAUUGGCUUGAUUUUUAUAACAACAAUGACUUGAUGAAGGAGAAUAUAGCAACAACGUAUGGAUUGGUGAUUAGAAUGACUUGGAUCGUUGGGUGCGCACAAAAAGUCUUGUUUAGAGCUUUUCUUCGCUAUAUCUUUGGAAUCUUGAUCGUUAUAUAUAACCAGCAAUCUGCUGUAUAAAUCGUCUUUCACAACUAGGAAAAUAUUCUCUUUAUCAUUCUCAACUCAGGCAAGACUACCCGCUGAAUUUAAGCAUAUAAAUAAGCGGAGGAAAAGAAACUAACAAGGAUUCCCUUAGUAACGGCGAGUGAAGCGGGAAAAGCUCAAUUUUGAAAUCUACUAGGAGUUAUAUUCCUAGUCGAAUUGUAGUUUCAAGAAAGAGUGGCUCAGGAAAGCUGGUUGGGUGUAAGUUCCUUGGAAUGAGACAUCAGAGAGGGUGACAAUCCCGUCUACCGUCCUUCCGCUUUUCUACCAAGCCCUCUUUUCAAAGAGUCGAGUUGUUUGGGAUUGCAGCUCAAAAUGGGUGGUAAAUUUCAUCUAAAGCUAAAUAUGGGUGAGAGACCGAUAGCGAACAAGUACCGUGAGGGAAAGAUGAAAAGCACUCUGAAGAGAGAGUGAAAAGUACGUGAAAUUGUUGAAAGGGAAACGCUUGAAACCAGUCAAGGUUGAUUAGAUUUCAGGGGAGUGUAUUGCUGGGCAAGAUUGAUGUAGAGAAUUGAUUCCUUGUGAAUUGACUCUAUGUUGAUUUUACGCUCAGUUAUGCUUUCUGUUUUUUUCUAAUCAACGAGUCAGCAUCAGUUUGACUGCUUGGGAUAAAGGUGACAGGAUCUGGUCAAUCUUUCGGCGAGCCUUGUUGCUCUCGGAGGGUUGAGCCUGCUUAUCAUGAUACCAAGCGUUGGACUGAGGAAUGCAGUACAAGACAUUGACUUGGAAUAGGCAAUCAUGUGGUGCCAUCUUUGAUAAACAGCUUGCUGAUUAUUAGAGAUGUGUUUUUUUCACUCAUGACUUGUCAAAUCCAAGCUGGUCUUGACUUUGGAUGUUGACGAAAUGGUUUUAAACGACCCGUCUUGAAACACGGACCAAGGAGUCUAACAUGGAUGCAAGUAUUUGGGUGAUUGGAAACCCAUAUGCGCAAUGAAAGUGAAUUCUUGAUAGGUAGGAAGUCAGUCCUUUCUUUUUUGAGGGAGGACUAACAGCACUACCGACCGAUCUUACCUAGCUUCGGCUUACUAGAUUUGAGUAAGAGCAUGCAUGUUGGGACCCGAAAGAUGGUGAACUAUGCCUGAAUAGGGUGAAGUCAGACGAAAGUCUGAUGGAAGCUCGUAGCGAUUCUGACGUGCAAAUCGAUCGUCAAAUUUGGGUAUAGGGGCGAAAGACUAAUCGAACCAUCUAGUAGCUGGUUCCUGC
rnacentral:misc_RNA from 1 species